rnacentral:rRNA from 1 species
AUUGAACGCCAGCGGCAGGUCUAACACAUGCAAGCCGAGCGAGCGGCGGACGGGUGAGUAAUGUAUGGGGACUGCCCGACAGAGGGGGAUAACUACUGGAAACGGUGGCCAAUACCGCAUACUAUAGGAUAAACCAUAUGGGAUGAGCUAGUAGGCGGGGUAAAGGCUAACUCAGGAUAAGACCUCUAGCUGGUCUGAGAGGAUGGUCAUCCACGCUGGGGCAGAGACUCGGCCCAAACUCCUACGGAUGCAGCAUUAGAGCAUAUUGCACAGAAGGCACAACCCGGAUGCAGCCAUGCCGCUAAUAUAAAGAAGGCCUUACGAUUGUGGAGUGCUUUCAGCGCGGAUGCGUUACCCGCAGAGGGAACGCCGGCUAACUCCGUGCCAACAGCCGCGGUAAUUC